rnacentral:rRNA from 1 species
AAUAGAUACCCAGGUAGUCCACGCCCUAAACGAUGCAUACUUGGUGUGAGCCAUUCAUUUGGUUCGUGCCGGAGCUAACGCGUUAAGUAUGCCGCCUGGGGAGUACGGUCGCAAGGCUGAAACUCGAAAGGAAUUGACGGGGGCCCGCACAAGCGGUGGAGCAUGUGGUUCAAUUCGACGCAACGCGAAGAACCUUACCUGGGCUCGAACGGCUUCGGACAAACCUUGGAAACAGGGUCUUCCCGCAAGGGACUGGAGUCGAGGUGCUGCAUGGCUGUCGUCAGCUCGUGUCGUGAGAUGUUGGGUUAAGUCCCGCAACGAGCGCAACCCUUGUCCUGUGUUGCCAUCAUUUAGUUGGGCACUCUCAGGAGACCGCCAGCGAUAAGUUGGAGGAAGGUGGGGAUGAUGUCAAGUCAUCAUGGCCUUUAUGUCCAGGGCUACACACGUGCUACGAAUGGGCGGUACAAGCGCUGCAACCCGCGAGGGGAGCUAAUCGACAAAAACCGUCCUCAGUUCGGAUCGC